GCCUCGGUGGUGUAGUGGUUUCAUGCGUUCCCGGUGUGGAUGAAGCGCUGGUUCGACUCCCGUGGGAGGUC